rnacentral:rRNA from 1 species
CCGGCUGGAGGACCGUGUCAGGCGGGUAGUUUGACUGGGGGGGUCGCCUCCUAAACAGUAACGGAGGCGCCCAAAGGUUCCCUCAGAAUGGUUGGAAAUCAUUCGAAGAGUGCAAAGGCAGAAGGGAGCUUGACUGCGAGACCUACAAGUCGAGCAGGGACGAAAGUCGGGCUUAGUGAUCCGGUGGUUCCGCAUGGAAGGGCCAUCGCUCAACGGAUAAAAGCUACCCUGGGGAUAACAGGCUGAUCUCCCCCAAGAGUCCACAUCGACGGGGAGGUUUGGCACCUCGAUGUCGGCUCAUCGCAUCCUGGGGCUGGAGUAGGUCCCAAGGGUUGGGCUGUUCGCCCAUUAAAGCGGUACGCGAGCUGGGUUCAGAACGUCGUGAGACAGUUCGGUCCCUAUCCGUCGUGGGCGCAGGAAAUUUGAGGAGAGCUGUCCUUAGUACGAGAGGACCGGGAUGGACGCACCGCUGGUGUACCAGUUGUUCCGCCAGGAGCAUCGCUGGGUAGCUACGUGCGGACGGGAUAAGUGCUGAAAGCAUCUAAGCAUGAAGCCCCCUCCGAGAUGAGAUUUCCCUUUGAGCAAUCAAGAAAGACCCCUCAGAGACGAUGAGGUAGAUAGGUCAUGGGUGGAAGCGUGGUGACACGUGGAGCUGAAUGAUACUAAUCGGUCGAGGCUUUGAUCUA